CCUACGGGAGGCAGCAGUGGGGAAUAUUGCACAAUGGGCGGAAGCCUGAUGCAGCGACGCCGCGUGAGGGAUGAAGGCCUUCGGGUUGUAAACCUCUUUCAGCAGGGACGAAGCGUGAGUGACGGUACCUGCAGAAGAAGCACCGGCUAACUACGUGCCAGCAGCCGCGGUAAUACGUAGGGUGCGAGCGUUGUCCGGAAUUACUGGGCGUAAAGAGUUCGUAGGCGGUUUGUCGCGUCGUUUGUGAAAACCCGGGGCUCAACUUCGGGCUUGCAGGCGAUACGGGCAGACUUGAGUGUUUCAGGGGAGACUGGAAUUCCUGGUGUAGCGGUGAAAUGCGCAGAUAUCAGGAGGAACACCGGUGGCGAAGGCGGGUCUCUGGGAAACAACUGACGCUGAGGAACGAAAGCGUGGGUAGCAAACAGGAUUAGAUACCCUGGUAGUCCACGCCGUAAACGGUGGCGCUAGGUGUGGGUUCCUUCCACGGAAUCUGUGCCGUAGCUAACGCAUAGCGCCCGCCGUCGGGAGGUACGGCCGGCCGACGGACGUAAACGUUAAAACGGUAAAGUUAGACGGCGUGUAAGGUACGUGCCGAACGGACGACGACGAGGGGAGGUUAGG
rnacentral:rRNA from 1 species